rnacentral:lncRNA from 1 species
UUUCGGCGUCCAAAUCGAAGCUGCAUCAUUCAAAAUGUGAAAAAUUGAUGACAAUGGCAGUGCAAAGUUGGACAUACUGUGUGUAUUCGUUGAUUAUUAAAUGUUUCGAAAAUGUCGAAAAAUUCGGGUGUAUUGGAAAUGGCUGAAAAACUGGUACCAUGCAUCCAGUACCGUGUCGUUAUUUAUCGGUAAAGGUAAGAGUAUUUAUGUCUGGUGGAGAUAAUGAGAUACCUAUAUAAAA